UGAGGAAUAUUGGUCAAUGGACGCAAGUCUGAACCAGCCACGUUGCGUGCAGGAUGACGGCCCUAUGGGUUGUAAACUGCUUUUAUCUGGGGAUAAAGUGGGGAAUGUGUUUCCUUUUGCAGGUACCAUAUGUAUAAGGACCGGCUAAUUCCGUGCCAGCAGCCGCGGUAAUACGGUAGGUUUGGGCGUUAUUCGGAUUUAUUGGGUUUAAAGGGAGCGUAGGCCGUUUGGUAAGCAUGUUGUGAAAGGUAGGGGCUCAACCGCUGGAAUGCAGCGCGAACAGUAAUAAUUGAGUGCGCACGAGGUAGGCGGAAUUCAUGGUGUAGUGGUGAAAUGCUUAGAUAUAAUGAAGAACUCCGAUUGCGAAGGCAGCCGACGGGAGCGAAACUGACGCUGAAGCUCGAAGGUGCGGGUAUCGAACGGG
rnacentral:rRNA from 1 species